GAUGAACGCUGGCGGCGUGCCUAAUACAUGCAAGUCGAGCGAACAGACGAGGAGUUUGCUCCGCUGACGUUAGCGGCGGACGGGUGAGUAACACGUGGAUAACCUACCUAUAAGACUGGGAUAACUUCGGGAAACCGGAGCUAAUACCGGAUAAUAUAUUGAACCGCAUGGUUCAGUAGUGAAAGACGGUUUUGCUUUCACUUGUAGAUGGACCCGCGCCGCAUUAGCUAGUUGGUAAGGUAACGGCUUACCAAGGCCACGAUGCGUAGCCGACCUGAGAGGGUGAUCGGCCACACUGGAACUGAGACACGGUCCAGACUCCUACGGGAGGCAGCAGUACGGAAUGUUGCGCCAUGGGCGAAUGCCUGACGGUGCAACGCCGCGUGAAUGAUGAAGGUCUUCGGAUCGUAAAACUCUGUUAUGAGGGAAGAACAAAUGUGUAAGUACCUAUGCACGUCUUGACGGUACCUAAUCAGAAAGCCACGGCUAACUACGUG
rnacentral:rRNA from 1 species